AUUGAACGCUGGCGGCAUGCCUAACACAUGCAAGUCGAGCGAGCGGCGGACGGGUGAGUAAUGUAUGGGAAACUGCCUGCUGGAGGGGGAUAACUACUGGAAACGGUAUCUAAUACCGCAUACCAUCAGAUGUGCCCAGAUGGGAGUAGCUAGUAGGUGGGGUAAUGGCGUACCUAGGCGACGAUCCCUAGCUGGUCUGAGAGGAUGACCAGCCCAACAGGAACUGAGACACGGUCAAGCCGCCUACGGGAGGCAGCAGUGGGGAAUAGUGCACGAUGGGCGAAAGCCUGAUGCAGACAUGCAGCGUGUGUGAGGAAGGCCUUCGGGUUGUAAAGCACUUUCAGCGGGGAGGCGUUACCCGCAGAAGAAGCACCGGCUAACUCCGUGCCAGCAGCCGCGGUAAUAC
rnacentral:rRNA from 1 species